CGAAGGUAAAAACGGCUCGGGAUUUGACCCCUCUCUCGUUUCCUCUCCCGCAUAACCCUCUCCUUCCGCCUCCGCCGCCACACCCCUCGGGUUUGAAGCCCACACACGCGACCUCUCUCCCAUGUAACCGGCCGGCAUGAGCGUCGCCAGCGGGAGAGCACGCAGCCCACCCCAACAGCAGCGGGGAGCUGGCCUGCCGCCGCCGCCGCCUGCCGCGCCUCGCCGGGGAGGCGACCCGGCGACCGGAGGAGAGGGCACCAUGGCGCGGAAGCAUGGCUGGCAGCUCCCGGCCCACACCCUGCAGGCGGCUUCCGGCGGAGGAGUCUUGUAGUGUUCGUGGAGGCUACGAGGAGGUAGCGAUGGGGAUCGGCUACCGAGCGAGGGCAAGGGCGCCGAUCUCCCAUCUCCUGUUUGUAAUCACCGACGCGGCCACCAUCGACUGGAUCUUCACCCCCUCAGAAGAUGUGCCAUGAGUUGAUGGGCAGCUAGCCGUUGCAAGAGCAUUCAGAGAUAUGAGCUGCUACUCAUACACAGCUCCUACAAACUUACGGAGCCAUUGUUCUCCUACCUGGGAGCGGAUAGGAAGGAUUUGGGUGCCGGCAACGUGGGGCUGAGAAGAAAGGAGGAUGUGUGAGGACAACUAGUGGGCGUACUACAACCGCAGCUGAUUCAUGUGUGUUGUUUGUUCGAUCCAACCCUUCCGUCUGCAGGGCCUGGCGAAGGGAAUGAAGAUGCACACCCUCGGCCACGACUUUGUCCUCUAGGUACAAAAGCGAGAUAGACUGAAAUUUGAUAAACAUUUGCUGAAUAUAAAGUAUUGCAUGAUUCCUUGCAUUAGCCUCUUUCCAAAUGCUCAGUUUUAUGACAGGAAGAUUUUACAUGGUUCAAAUGUCCUGUCUCCUAGCUAUGACAAGGAUUAUAUAUGCCUCCUGUAUGGCAGCUACACUCUUGUAAAUGUCACGGAUGGGAGGGAAGACAAGGAGGGCACAGGAAACAGUCGACGAAACAUGGUUGAAGUUGUUGUUGUUCUGCACCUCAUCCAAACCAUCUUUAGAUGUUGGAAAAGUACAGGCAAAGCGCUCAGCAUUGGUGUGGUCUCUUCGUAUGGUCUCAAGUUGACGCUAUUAAAGAUAGACUUGAUAAAAAAUACAACACAUGUGAUGGCUUUCAUGUGCACGUCAAGUCUAUUGAUGGUUUUCAAGGAGAAGAGGACGAUAUAUUAAUACUAUGAACGGUAAUAUCCAAUUGGAAUGGAGUUGUUGGGUUUCUUGCUGAUAACCAAAGAACAAACAUUACAUGGGACAAGGGCAAGGCUCUGGAUUUUCUGAAUGAAUCGUUAGGAUAUACACAACUGAAGCGAUGACGUCCUGCCGGUGUAUAUUGGCGACGACCGCAUCGACAGGAUCCUGGUGGCCAAGUGCCUCAAGGAGAGCAGCACGUCUUACUCACUCCAGGACCCAGCAGAGCUUUUUCAUGGCCUUUAGACAUUUGAAACGGAGGGAGUAUGAUCCUCCUAUAUUUGUGUGCUUGUAGCUUUGAUCUAUUUUAUGAAUGUGUGCUGUUGCUGUAUCUUAUUUUUCCAACCUAUUGAUCCUGUCACAUGUGCGCCAGGGCAGGCUCUGGUCAGCACUAAGGGAUUUUAGUUAUAAUUCCAUGAGCAAUGCUUGCAUUCA